UACAGAGGUCUCAAGCGUUGUUCGGAUUCAUUGGGCGUAAAGGGUGCGUAGGCGGCGCGGUAAGUCGGGUGUGAAAUCUUGGAGCUUAACUCCGAAACUGCAUUCGAUACUGCCGUGCUUGAGGACUGGAGAGGAGACUGGAAUUUACGGUGUAGCGGUGAAAAUGCGUAGAGAUCAUGAGGAAGACCAGUGGCGAAGGCGGGGUCUCUGGACAGUUCCUGACACUGAGACACGAAGGCCAGGGGGAGCAAAACGGGG
rnacentral:rRNA from 1 species